CUUUAUUUCGAUCCACAUUGCACUAAAAUUGCAUUGCAAUUUGAGGCAAAUGAGGUCUCGAGUCGUUAUCGUCGAAGAAGAGGCUGAAGUACUAGAAGCUCACAUUGUCACAUCCUUGACUAAAUAUACGGAUCACUUGAUACUGAUCGGCGACCACCAGCAAUUGAAACCAAGCACAGCAGUAUAUGACCUAUCCA